GGAAUAAUGAGCCAGAGUUUGUGAAGGUGCUUUGAAGUAGCUGGAUGAAAGGGACUGUGUAAAUCAUAACAGUAGUAGCCCUGCCAGACUGCUCUCACCACACUUGUCUCUUACACUCCAAUACAGGGGCACCGCCACCCAUUCCCAUGCACCCCCACCACUGCUCAGCAAUUUUGCAUGUUGCUUCCAAAGGGGUUGCUCACCCCUGUAUCCAAACAUCACCACCACAGAUAUUCAGUGUCCUGCCCCACACUGCCAGCACUCCCCACCGAGCACACAGCUGGAAGGAAACUUCAAGAUAAUUUGGUCCAACAUCCCAUUUUUUGAAGGUCAGGAAACUAACAUCCAGAAAGGUUAAAUGAGUUUGCCUGGAAUUUCUUUUAAGGAGAUGCAUUUCCUAAGGGUCAUCAUAUUUCUAAAUCAGUAAGAGUGCUAAGUAAUAUGUUUUGUUAAAUCUGCAUGUUUUUAAAGAAACGAAUACAAGAGAAUAAUAACGUUUCCUUUUGGAAGGGAAGAUCUGCCUGCAUGGCCAGUAACCCAGAGCCCAAGCCAGAUAAAAAUAAUGAUUAACGAACGGAUAAACAGGCUCAUAUGCUUCAUACGUGAUAAAUUAAGGGUCUCAUACUGGCCAGAGAAUCAUGUUAUCUAAGUAAUUUUGAGAAGACAGCCCAUGACCUUAAUAAUUUGCCACUUGUUAUGGCAAAGUUAUUUUGAAAGUUUUCUAGGUAACUGAAGGUCCAGUGUAUGUGCCAGGCAUUUAGUAUAAUCUUAUCUUUCCCCAAAUGUGGACAAAAGUGGUUUUUUUCAGUCACAUAUACCACCGCAUUGAGAACUGGACAUUUGAUAAUCAUCAGCGAUUUUCCCUCCAGGGCCUCCUCAGAUGGCUUUUCUUGAUUACAAACUAUUUUGGAAACUCCAAAUUCUUUCCACUGAUUUAGCAACGAAUCCUCAACUUAUUUUUAAACUGCUGUAAUUGAGCAGCUCUGGGGGUUAACUUGUGGAGUCUGGUCACUUUUAGAUCAAAUUAUCAACCAAACACUCUGCUCUUACCAUCUUGGGACCAUCUUCUAUUUCUUUUGCUGAGAAUAGGUUAACCAAGGGACCUUGAAAUCAUUCAAAGCCACAAUACAAAAACAUCACUUUGGCUUCUCCCAAGUUUAUCCUACUCUUCAUCUGGUGCAAGGAAACGAACAGAAAAACCGGACCCUGUUAAUUAUUCCCAAGAUGACAUCAAUGUGCUCUUCCAUGGCCUUCUACAGCUUGGAGCUGAGCUCAAGGAGCAAGGAGUUAUAGCAGAAAGCACACUGGCCACCUGUUUAAGCGACUGGACCCUUUGAACACCUCUUUAGCUGAGCUUCUAGGUCAGCCAGCAGGAGAGAAGGAAAGAGGGCUUUGAGAGGAGAGAGGAGCAGCUCGACAAGAGGAGUGAAGGCCCCUAUCAGCUGGCUGCUGAGCUCCAGUGUCAACUGGUUGCAGGGAUGACCUACAGGGAGGGAUUUAAUGAGGAGCUGAAGUUGCUGGAGCAAAGUUGGAAGAUGCUGCACCCUUUAAGGCAAGUGGGCUUCCAGUGACAAAGGUGAUGGAUGAUGUCAUGACAGAGCCAAAAAAUUGAUGAAGUGGAAAUGCAGCAAAGCCAACUGCAUGAACAAAGAUGCUGUCAUUCAAAAACUACAGGAAAAGGCACUGUUACAAGCAUCUAUGACAGGUACUACUAUUAGCCUCAUUCAGAAGAUGAUAAAACUGAGGUGUGAAGAGAAUGCAUUAACUUGUACCAGGUUAGAUAAAAGUGCAAAUUCACAAAGGAACCAGUGAAAAAGGAAAACAGAAGGAAAACUCCUGAUGUGUAGGUUGAAGAGAACAUUCUGUCUUCAGAAAUCAGAGCAAGAAAAAUGGAAGGUAAAACAUGUUCCAGGGCACCAGUCAGAGCCCCACAAGGCUGUCUGCCCUGGGAAAUGGCGCAAGAUUAGAAGGAGGCACUGGGGGUGUUAUCGCAAGCAGCAGCUUGCCCCUUAGUAACCCCUGUCCUCCACAGGCCAGGCUGCAAUAUUUCACAUAAACGCUGGUACUGUACUCUGAACAUCAGGGACCUCUACACCCCUCACAAACAGCAAAUGCAGUUAAGACGCCAGAAAAAAAAAAUGGUAUCAAAUUGUUUAAAAACUCUACAAUAAAUGGUCCAAUAUUCUUUCUCUAUGAUUUUGUAAUGUUAAAAAAAUCCACUGAAAGUCAGAAAUCAAAUGACAGAAAGAGAGAAAGAGAAAGAGAGAGAGAGAGAAAUAAAACAAUAGCCAGUCUUAAUGUCUCUUAUGGUACCACUUUUAAAGAUUUCUUUCAGUGAGAAAACAAUCCAUGCUUUUUCAACUGAUGAUCUGCAAUUUGAAUAUGAGAUAUGGUGAUUUUAUACAGCACAACUCUUAUUACUACUAAUUGAUCUUUGAACAUGAAUUGAUUAAAUAUAGCUGCUAUGAUAUUUGUAGAAUACCUUUUCUAUUACAUUAAUCUCCAUCCCAUUCUUUUCUAUGAGAUAAGUAAAAGUUCCUUUUGAGUGAGAGAUUGGAAAACCAGCAUUCCUUCUGCUAAAUAAAGCAGACCCUCAAGAAUGCUAUCUUUUAGAAAUGGGUGAAAGGAGCCAUCCUUAAAACCCACUUCACUUGUUUAAGUCCAACUAGUUUUCAAUAGCAAAGACCCAAAGGGAAAGCUAGAGUGUUUAUGGUCUUAGGUCUUAUCCAGAUCAGAUUCCCAUAGAAAAGAAUCACAAAUAUCCAAGCAUUCGAAAUCUGCUGGGGAAACCUAACUGCUUUAAGAAAAAAAAAAAUUCUCUCCCCGAUCCUGAUUGAAAAUGAUUUCUAAACCAUACUUUGUUGAACCAACUGAAAUUUUUUUCAAGUAAGAUGCCCAUGUUAGCAGAUUUCCUUCUGAAACACUGCUUGGUAGAUUUAAUAUAUUAAGAGGUUUAUAUAUAAUUCACUCUCACCUUAGUAUGAAUUGGUUUACUCACCCUCCCUCCUUACAAAAAGCUUGGAUUUAUGGACUGAAGGUGUGCAUGAAGAAAAGGAAUAAAAAGAGGAUAGG
rnacentral:lncRNA from 1 species